rnacentral:piRNA from 1 species
UGUGCAUCAUUGAACUCAACCAAUGGGAUGG